GGAGAGGGAGUAGAGCUAAGAGAAAACCCCAGGACCCUCGGGAUCACGCACACCCUUUCGCCAGCUCCGCCCACUUUCCUUAACGCCACACCCACGUUCCUUUAAAGCCCCGCCCUCUACGAUCCAGGCCCCGCCCUUAUUCCGCCUCCCCCCCCCGCCCCCGUUCCAGCACACAACCUUUCCUAGCUCCCCGUUCCUUUAGAUCCCACCAAGCCCCUUUCCCUCCGAGCCCCGACGUGCCAUCCGAACCUCCCCGCGUUUCCAUCACAACCCGCCCGCAUCCCUCAAAGCUCCGCCCACCUCCCAGGCCCCACCCCAGACCCCAAGACUCACUGCGUGUUCUCGUACAGAACCGCUUGCUGGAUGCCUGUUGGUCGUGGAGCCUGACCACCCCAUCUUACUGGGCAAAUUGAGGCCCAGCGUCUGCCGCUGCCGCUCAGGGCUGGAGGUCCCACCUGAAGAAACUCAAGAUGAGCAGGGCCAGCAGCAGUGUGGCCAGGGACACGGAGUAGCCCACGGUGUACAUGACCUGCAGCCGCUCCAAAAUCAGCCGUUGAUCCUAAGCCGGGGUGGGGGUGGGGUGCAGGAGGACAGGGGGACACAGGGACAGAGUUCAGUGCUUCCCCCAGGGCCAGAAAGGGGCCCUGCUUUUUGUUCCCGCCCAGCUUCCCAAUUUUCCCUUGGGGAUCCAUCUACCCUCUUUGGGUGGGGCUGACUCCGCCCCUCAGUCCAGGGCUGAGCACGUGACCAGCCAGCCAAUCAGAGCAUUCUAUGUAACCCCCUGCACACACAGACACACCCUUACACAGUGUGCCCGGCGGACGCGACUCACAACAGGCCAAUAAGUGUCAGUCCUGGGACAUUUCGUUAGAGCUAUGGAGAGCAAAAUGCAGUCUCCCCACCGUCUUGCUUGGUUGGUGGGAUGUGAGCCUGGUGUUCGUUAAUGGGGACCACACUUUUCACCCCACGGAAAAGAUGAGACCAGCACAGAGAAAAACAAAGUCAUGGUGUAGUGAGAGACAGAGAGAUUUCCAACAACAGCAUUUGAACGCCUAGAUCCAGCUGUGCCUGAAACUGUGGCCUAAUGCUUUUCAAUCACAGAAGCCAAUAUACAUUUCUCUUUCUUUCUCCA